rnacentral:rRNA from 1 species
CUUGGUCGUUUAGAGGAAGUAAAAGUCGUAACAAGGUUUCCGUGAUUGAACGUGAGGAAGGAUCAUUUAAGAGUAACGGUGGUCAGAGCUCGACUUCCAACCCUGUGUUGUUAAAAUUACUUUGUUGAUUCGGCGGGACCGCUCGGUCUCGAGCCGGUGGGGAUUGGUCCCAGGAGAGUGCCCGCCAGACUUAAACCAAAAUCUUGUUAUUAAACCGGUCGUGUGAGUUCAAAUUUGGAAUAAAUCAAAACAUUCAACAACGGAUCUCUUGGUUCUUGCAUCGAUGAAGAACGCAGCGAAAUUCGAUAAGUAAUGUGAAUUGCAGAAUUCAGUGAAUCAUCGAAUCUUUGCACGCACAUUGCGCCCGAAGGUAUUCCGAGGGGCAUGCCUGUUCGAGCGUCAUUACACCACUCAAGCUAUGCUUGGUAUUGGGCGUCGUCGUUAGUUGGGCGCGCGAAAAAGACCUGGGCGAGGCCUCACCGGCUUUAGGAGUAGUAGAAUUUAUUCAAUAAAGUAAGUCAAUGGAGAGGAGUUGUGCAGAAUCAAACCUUUAUUUUUUUCAGGUUGACCUCGGAUCAGGUAGGGAUACCCGAUGAAUUUAAGCAUAUCAAUAAGCGGAGGA